rnacentral:miRNA from 1 species
GGUGUGGCCCUGUUAAAGGAAGUGUGUCACUGGGGAUGGGUUUGGGGUUUCAAAAGUUCAAGCCAGGCCCAGUGUCACUCUCUCUUCCUAAUGCCUUCAGAUC